AGAGCCGGAGCCGUGGCCGGCCGGGCCGGCGACAUGGAGCCCCUGUACCAGCAAACGCACAAGCAGGUCCACGAGAUCCAGUCUCGCAUGGGACGCCUGGAGACGGCAGACAAGCAGUCUGUGCACAUAGUAGAAAACGAAAUCCAAGCAAGCAUAGACCAGAUAUUCAGCCGUCUAGAACGUCUGGAGAUUUUGUCCAGCAAGGAGCCCCCUAACAAAAGGCAAAAUGCCAAACUUCGGGUUGACCAGUUAAAGUAUGAUGUCCAGCACCUGCAGACUGCGCUCAGAAACUUCCAGCAUCGGCGCCACGCAAGGGAGCAGCAGGAGAGACAGCGAGAAGAGCUUCUGUCUCGAACCUUCACCACUAACGGGACUCAGAAGAAGAUCCUUGACAUUGCCAACAUGCUGGGCUUGUCCAACACAGUGAUGCGGCUCAUUGAGAAGCGGGCUUUCCAGGACAAGUACUUUAUGAUCGAGACAAGGUCUCACCAUGUUGCCUGGAAUGGACCUGAACUCCUGAGCUCAAGAUAUCCUCUUGCAUCAGCCUUCUGAAGUGCUGGGAUUAUAGGAUCUUACCUAGCCAUAUGGCCUGCUGCCUCUGCCAAUUUAAAAACAGCAUUGAGGCUGUCUGCAAGACAGUCAAGCUGCAUUGCAACAGUGCAUGUCUGACAAACACCAUACAUUGUCGUUUAGGAUUGGGUGUGUGUUUCUCCUCUCUGAAUGGCACUCGAAUGUUUGCUGACUCCUACUCUGUAUGACUGGGGUGUACAGCUAUGGACUGAUGCAUCCCGUCCCAUCAUCUUUCAUGAUCAAAGCAGUCUCUUCUUUUUUGACAGCUGAAGAAGCAUCUGUAGGGAAUCCAGAAGGAGCGUUCAUGAAGGUAUUACAAGCCCGGAAGAAUCACACAAGCACUGAGCUGACUAUUGAGCCGGAGGUGCCCUCAGACAGCAGCGGCAUCAACUUGUCAGGCUUUGGGAGUGAGCAGCUAGACACCAAUGACGAGAGUGAUGUUAUCAGUGCACUAAGUUACAUCUUGCCUUAUUUCUCAGCGGUAAACCCAGAUGUGAAAUCAAUGUUAUUACCGUUCGUUAAACUGCCAACCACAGGAAACAGCCAGGCAAAGAUUGAAAGUGUUGGAGGCAAAAACUGGCAGAGAGUGAACAGAGUCCUCAUGGGCCCAAGGAGCAUCCAGAAAAGGCCCUUCAAAGAGGUAGGAAGGCAGAGCAUCAGGAGGGAACAGGGUGCCCAGGCAUCUGUGGAGAACGCUGCUGAAGAAAAAAGGCUCGGGAGUCCAGCCCCAAGGGAGCUGGAACAGCCUCACAUACAGCAGGGGCCUGAGAAGUUAGCGGGAAAUGCUGUCUACACCAAGCCUUUGUUCACCCAAGAGCGUAAGGCAGCAGGCUCUGUGCUGAAACCCUUCUCCAAGGGCGCGCCUUCUACCUCCAGCUUUGCAAAAGCCCUACCUCAGGUGAGAGACAGAUGGAAAGACCUAACCCACGCUAUUUCCAUUUUAGAAAGUGCGAAGUCUAGAGUUACGAAUAUGAAAGCUUCUAAACCAAUCGUACAUUCCG
rnacentral:sRNA from 1 species